UACGGAGGGAGCUAGCGUUGUUCGGAAUUACUGGGCGUAAAGCGCGCGUAGGCGGCUCAUUAAGUCAGAGGUGAAAUCCCGGGGCUCAACCCCGGAACUGCCUUUGAAACUGGCGAGCUAGAAUCCUGGAGAGGCGAGUGGAAUUCCGAGUGUAGAGGUGAAAUUCGUAGAUAUUCGGAAGAACACCAGUGGCGAAGGCGACUCGCUGGACAGGUAUUGACGCUGAGGUGCGAAAGCGUGGGGAGCAAACAGGAUUAGAUACCCGCGUAGUCC
rnacentral:rRNA from 1 species